rnacentral:rRNA from 1 species
GAUGAACGCUGUCGGCGUGCCUAAUACAUGCAAGUCGAGCGAACAGACGAGGAGCUUGCUCCUCUGACGUUAGCGGCGGACGGGUGAGUAACACGUGGAUAACCUACCUAUAAGACUGGGAUAACUUCGGGAAACCGGAGCUAAUACCGGAUAAUAUAUUGAACCGCAUGGUUCAAUAGUGAAAGACGGUUUUGCUGUCACUUAUAGAUGGAUCCGCGCCGCAUUAGCUAGUUGGUAAGGUAACGGCUUACCAAGGCAACGAUGCGUAGCCGACCUGAGAGGGUGAUCGGCCACACUGGAACUGAGACACGGUCCAGACUCCUACGGGAGGCAGCAGUAGGGAAUCUUCCGCAAUGGGCGAAAGCCUGACGGAGCAACGCCGCGUGAGUGAUGAAGGUCUUCGGAUCGUAAAACUCUGUUAUUAGGGAAGAACAAAUGUGUAAGUAACUAUGCACGUCUUGGCGGUACCUAAUCAGAAAGCCACGGCUAACUACGUG